GUUUCCAUUUGUGAACAACAUAUAUGUGUGUAUGAAUAAAAUUUAUAAAUGGACAUAACCUUAUACACAAGAUUUAAAAUAACCCCUGGGCACAUGUGGGCCCAACCCAGAGAUAGCCCUUCCUGAAAUGACUGGAGCCAAGAGCCUGUCACGCUCGCGGUAUUCAGUGCAAGGUCUGAUCGCGUCUUCUGUCACUCAAGGCCUGAGGGCGCGGAGCCUGGAGCUCUAUCCAUUAAGGGCGCUGGGGUGGGAACUGUCCAAUCAGGUUCACAGUCAGAGAGGAAGGGGUGGCUCCCGGUACCUGGCGGGGCCUUUGUCUCUUGCUCCAGCCAGAGCUCGAGGUUAGCUCUUCACUGCCCUGUGUCUUCUUUCCAAGGGUCUCGGUGAUUCGGCCACAGCCUCAGCCUCCAUCACGCGGUGAACUGAUGGUGCUGGAAGAUUCAUAGACUCCAGGACAUUCCUGAAGCCGAGAAAAGGUUAAGUAGGGUCUGGCCUGGAAUACUCUCCUAGAUGAAGAUAGCCCAACCAUGAGCCACCUUCGAAGCAGAUGAGAUGAAAUUAAAGCUCUUCAACUCCUAAAGGCCCAGAGACUAUCACAAAAGAGGUCAGAAAUCCUGAAGGUCACUUUCUGACAAACUCAGGAACCCCAGGUUUAUCUUGGAGCCUCAAGAGGAGAUAAAUUCACCCAACUCAGGCUGGAGUGCAGUGGAAUGAUCUUGGCUCACUUCCGUCUCC
rnacentral:lncRNA from 1 species